UUUUUAGUAGUAUAACAAUUACACCUCCCUUCCAAGGAUGAAAUCUUUCGAUAGCU
rnacentral:tRNA from 1 species